GCCGUCAGCUCGUGUCGUGAGAUGUUGGGUUAAGUCCCUCAACGAGCGCAACCCUCGUUCCAUGUUGCCAGCACGUAGUGGUGGGGAAUCAUGGGAGACUGCCCGGGUCAAAUCGGAGGAAAGGGGGGAAGACGUCAAAUCAUCAUGCCCCCUAUGUGUUGGGGUUCACCCAUUCUACAAUGGCCGGUACAAAGGGGUGCGAUAUUGUGAGGGGGAGGUAAUUCCAAAAAACCGGUCUCAGUUCGGAAUGGGGUUCCAACUUGACCCCAGAAGUCGGAUCGGUAUUAUGGAGUC
rnacentral:rRNA from 1 species